CAAGGCGACGAUCCCUAGCUGGUCUGAGAGGAUGACCAGCCACACUGGAACUGAGACACGGUCCAGACUCCUACGGGAGGCAGCAGUGGGGAAUAUUGCACAAUGGGCGCAAGCCUGAUGCAGCCAUGCCGCGUGUAUGAAGAAGGCCUUCGGGUUGUAAAGUACUUUCAGCGGGGAGGAAGGUGUUGUGGUUAAUAACCGCAGCAAUUGACGUUACCCGCAGAAGAAGCACCGGCUAACUCCGUGCCAGCAGCCGCGGUAAUACGGAGGGUGCAAGCGUUAAUCGGAAUUACUGGGCGUAAAGCGCACGCAGGCGGUCUGUCAAGUCGGAUGUGAAAUCCCCGGGCUCAACCUGGGAACUGCAUUCGAAACUGGCAGGCUUGAGUCUUGU
rnacentral:rRNA from 1 species